GGCCAUUUAGAUGCUCUAUUAAUUGAAAACUUAUAGGUAUAUCCUUUGUCCUGAGAAUGUUUACGAAUCCGAAUUCCCAUCAUACCCUGUGAAAAUUUGCAUUAGUAGUUCGUAGAUAUUCUGCAAGGCACAGAAACACACGCGUAGCUGUGAUAAAAAAAAAUGCAAUAAAAAUAGCAGCAAUGCUCGUGAUGGUGAUGGUGAUAUUGUUUGUAACGGUCACACCAAAAGCAAUAAUUGAUGAACAAAAAAGUUCCCAUUGAAAAACUAUUGAGGAUAGUGGUACUACCAUCAGUGGUGGUUAUAGCAAUUCACAGUAUUGAUACUGUUUGUGUCAAUAAUGGUAGCUGUGGAGUUACAGUAUCGAUGAAGAAAGAAGUCAAUACUACAGGCUAGGAUAAUGGUGGUGAUGGUGACACUGUUCAUCAUGGUUGUGAUUAAUUGAUUACAAUUCUGG
rnacentral:lncRNA from 1 species